CCCGUUUGGGGGGUUGAUUUGGUUCACUGCUGUGUUGAAAUACCAAUUGUUGCCUCGGCGGAUCAGCCCGCUCCCGGUAAAACGGGACGGCCCGCCAGAGGACCCCUAAACUCUGUUUCUAUAUGUAACUUCUGAGUAAAACCAUAAAUAAAUCAAAACUUUCAACAACGGAUCUCUUGGUUCUGGCAUCGAUGAAGAACGCAGCAAAAUGCGAUAAGUAAUGUGAAUUGCAGAAUUCAGUGAAUCAUCGAAUCUUUGAACGCACAUUGCGCCCGCCAGUAUUCUGGCGGGCAUGCCUGUUCGAGCGUCAUUUCAACCCUCAAGCCCCCGGGUUUGGUGUUGGGGAUCGGCGAGCCUCACGGCAAGCCGGCCCCGAAAUAUAGUGGCGGUCUCGCUGCAGCUUCCAUUGCGUAGUAGUAAAACCCUCGCAACUGGUACGCGGCGCGGCCAAGCCGUUAAACCCCCAACUUCUGAAUGUUGACCUCGGAUCAGGUAGGAAUACCCGCUGAACUUAAGCAUAUCAAUAAGCGGAGGAA
rnacentral:rRNA from 1 species